rnacentral:rRNA from 1 species
GAUGAACGCUGGCGGCGUGCCUAAUACAUGCAAGUCGAGCGAACGGACGAGAAGCUUGCUUCUCUGAUGUUAGCGGCGGACGGGUGAGUAACACGUGGAUAACCUACCUAUAAGACUGGGAUAACUUCGGGAAACCGGAGCUAAUACCGGAUAAUAUUUUGAACCGCAUGGUUCAAAAGUGAAAGACGGUCUUGCUGUCACUUAUAGAUGGAUCCGCGCUGCAUUAGCUAGUUGGUAAGGUAACGGCUUACCAAGGCAACGAUGCAUAGCCGACCUGAGAGGGUGAUCGGCCACACUGGAACUGAGACACGGUCCAGACUCCUACGGGAGGCAGCAGUAGGGAAUCUUCCGCAAUGGGCGAAAGCCUGACGGAGCAACGCCGCGUGAGUGAUGGAGGUCUUCGGAUCGUAAAACUCUGUUAUUAGGGAAGAACAUAUGUGUAAGUAACUGUGCACAUCUUGACGGUACCUAAUCAGAAAGCCACGGGCUACUACGUGCCAGCAGCCGCGGUAAUACGUANGUGGCAAGCGUUAUCCGGAAUUAUUGGGCGUAAAGCGCGCGUAGGCGGUUUUUUAGUCUGAUGUGAAAGCCCACGGCUCAACCGUGGAGGGUCAUUGGAAACUGGAAAACUUGAGUGCAGAAGAGGAAAGUGGAAUUCCAUGUGUAGCGGUGAAAUGCGCAGAGAUAUGGAGGAACACCAGUGGCGAAGGCGACUUUCUGGUCUGUAACUGACGCUGGUGUGCGAAAGCGUGGGGAUCAAACAGGAUUAGAUACCCUGGUAGUCCACGCCGUAAACGAUGAGUGCUAAGUGUUAGGGGGUUUCCGCCCCUUAGUGCUGCAGCUAACGCAUUAAGCACUCCGCCUGGGGAGUACGACCGCAAGGUUGAAACUCAAAGGAAUUGACGGGGACCCGCACAAGCGGUGGAGCAUGUGGUUUAAUUCGAAGCAACGCGAAGAACCUUACCAAAUCUUGACAUCCUUUGACAACUCUAGAGAUAGAGCCUUCCCCUUCGGGGGACAAAGUGACAGGUGGUGCAUGGUUGUCGUCAGCUCGUGUCGUGAGAUGUUGGGUUAAGUCCCGCAACGAGCGCAACCCUUAAGCUUAGUUGCCAUCAUUAAGUUGGGCACUCUAAGUUGACUGCCGGUGACAAACCGGAGGAAGGUGGGGAUGACGUCAAAUCAUCAUGCCCCUUAUGAUUUGGGCUACACACGUGCUACAAUGGACAAUACAAAGGGCAGCGAAACCGCGAGGUCAAGCAAAUCCCAUAAAGUUGUUCUCAGUUCGGAUUGUAGUCUGCAACUCGACUACAUGAAGCUGGAAUCGCUAGUAAUCGUAGAUCAGCAUGCUACGGUGAAUACGUUCCCGGGUCU